rnacentral:lncRNA from 1 species
CACCUAUAAAAAUAAUGUUUAAAAAGUUACUUAUAUAAGUAAUAUUUAAAAUAGCCUCGUUUUCAACAUUACUUGUAUAGUUAAUUUUAAAUGUUACUUGUUUAAGUAAUGCCCCUGACUGGUAAACAUGAGACACCUACAUGUAGAUCCUAUAUAGUUGAAACUCUUGGAGGUACCCGCCUAAGAAGAAGCCGUAUACAUCUUAAAAAAAAAAAACAACAACAACAUUUCAACCAGCAAUUGGAAUUGAACAACAUUUUGAUGUAAAUACACCUCAACAAGAAAUCCGAAAUGAUCCUAUCACUGAAAAUUUCAAACAAGCAACAGAAGUAAACAAACCCG